CACCUCGACUCCACAUUUGAGGGAUAGAGAUUCAACUAAGGUGGUUGCAGGAAGGGGAGCUAUGUGAAAACAGUGCUGUGUGCCAGAUCCCAUUUGAAUGAAUGGUUUGGCCCUAAACUUGCAGGCCCCAGGGAAAUGAUGCCGGCCAUGGCUUAGUUAUUGCUGUGUCAGAGGAGCGCUGGCCACUGCUGUUUUUGCCCGUCCACAAACUUGUUCGUGUUACUGUGCUUCUUAUGGAUUAGUUUUUGAGAGUCAUUUCCUGUAACUUAUUGGUUUUGUUUGUUUGUUUUUAUAAACCAACUUUGUGGGCUUGAUUUGUAUCAGUACAGGUGGGUUGUCAUAUGCUUACAGGCGGUGAAUCACUGGGUGGAAGGUCUUAUUUUGGGUUUUAUUUGCAUGCUUAAGUUGCUGUGUGUUAAUUCUUGUGCCCUUUUGUUUUGCAGUGUGUGUGUGACCUUCCUUCUUCCUCCGUACCUGGUGGUGGUGACCCCUCCCUCCCUCACUUUCACUCCUGUAGGUUCCCUGGCAAUUCCCCACCAGUACUGGUACUCAUUUACUUAUGGCGAUCUUUUAGCAAAGGACAUAUAUGUAUAUUUAUG